UUUUCUUUUUCGAAAAAGCCACGCCUCAGUGUAAACCCGCAAAAGAAAUCCCUCAGCCCCCAAAUUCAUAUCGCCGAAGCAAGCCUCAGUUUUUUCCACCUUCAAUCAUAGGUGCUUCGGCCUUGAAUCGCCGGUCUCUAUCUUCAGUCUCUUUGGGAUUACCAAAUCUCAGGUGAACAAAAUUUCUAUCUGCUAGAUGAAAGCAGAAUUUGCCCCCUUUUCAUUUAAGGUACUUCUUCUUUGAAUUUUUUCCUUAUCGGGUGAGGAUGCGGCUGGGUAUGGCUUGGCCAGAGUAUGUAGAUCAAUCUAUUGCCUCAACUUGGUACUUGAAAUGGCAAUCUGAAGCUGAAAUGAGUUUCAGAUCAAGAAAGAUGAAUUGCAGUGGUAUCUUUGGUUCUUGAUUAGAAUUGCAAUAUAUGGCUAUGUAUUGUAUUAUGUGAUAUGCUUUAUGAAGAGAAAAAUUCCAUGGCUUCUUGGUUAUGGACCUUUAAGGAGAAACCCCAACUUACGGAAGUUGCAGAGAGUCGUAUAAUUACCUCCUCGACUCAUUUAUAUAUCUAGUGUCUGGACAAAUGUAUGUUUCUGUUUAUGCAUAGUACAACUUGUUUGUUAUGUUUAACUUAGUGAUUAUUCCUCCAUUGAUCACUACAUUUUACGUGACCCUCCUUCUUUUUAGUCUGUUUAAAGAACAUGCUCACUUUUAAGAACAUGUACACACUACCCUCCCCAAAUCACAGUUGUGGGAUUCCACUAGGUUGUUGUUGUUGUUGUUGUUUUGACCCAUUUUCUUAUAGUUUAUUGAUUCUAUUUCUAGUUAGUAGUUAGUCCAUUUACUUUUGAAGAUAAAGACUUCACUGAAGGAAGGAAUAAAAAAGAUAAAGGAAAUUAGUUUUAUAAUUCAUUUCACCAAAAUAAUCUCACUCAAAUUUGCUAUAUUUAUUUGAAAAUGCAACAUUGGAACUCCAAACCAGAACAAUUACCAUUUUCUCAAUAUCAUUCUCUAAGAACUUCAGUAUUAUUUUAUUGAUUUCUCAUAUAACUAAAUGACCUUUUUAUAGUUUAUUUUUUCUCGUAAGAAUUGAAUGUACUAUAAGAUAUUAAUCGAUUUCUUUAUACUAACAUUCCUUCAUUUCAUGAUGUUAUGUUCAUUACUUGCUUGACUAACUUCUCUUUCUGAAAUUUCUGGAGCUUUGUCUUUUUUCCCCCCAAGUGAUUGAUCUAGAAUAAAUCAUCAAUGGUUAGAGACUAUUUUUUGCACCUAGCAGUUGUCUUAGCUCAAGUUUGAGUGAUAUUUUACUGUUUAGAAGUGAGAGUUUGGGGGGACGAACAUGGGUACAGACUUAUGGGUAACAGAUCUUAUGUUGUGAUAUUCAUAGUGCUCCAAGGAGUUCAACCGGAAAACACGUGGUGGAAGAAUUGGUAUUCUUAGUGCUCUACUUUUAAGAUUUGUUCCCUGUGUUUGGAGGUAAUUACUUCUCUCUUUUUCUGUUUAACUUUCUAUAUCUAUUAUGGUGUGAUCGUCUUAUGCAGUGAUCAAGCGCAGCAAAGUAUGUGCUCUAACUCCUCCUUAAAAUGCUAAUGGAUGCCAGUUUGGGUUCUUAUUUUUUCCAAUGGACUUACUCUUCCUUUUGUAGUUUUAUGUCUAAUUUUUAUAGAGAACUUAAAUAUUAAAUCUUUCAGAGAAUAAACAAUCUUAAGUACUUAGGUAGAUGGAUGUUAUUCCUGAGAUUAUUUUCUUUUGGUUGAUGAACUUGGGUUUAUGUAUUUUUGUUCUGCAGGUACUCUCUGUGUGUGUAUAUUUUCUUUCGGUUAAUGAACUUGGGUUUAUUGUGUGUAUAUUAUACUAAAGGUUUCUAUCAUAAAACAGCUUCAGCCACAAAGAUUCUCAGAGAGUACAAAAAUAUCAACAGAAGCUGCUAUACUGAAGGCAUGUCUCUAGCUCACCGACGACUUUAAAGAGGAUUUACCGGUAAGUUCCCGAUGUUCAAAAUUAAAAGUUAUGACAUAGUUGAUUGGUGGAUGAUCAGAAUUCAUAUUUCUUUUCUUAUUUUAUUAUGAUGUUUGCUCUAUUUUGUUCUCUCGGUUCCUGUCCUGUUUCUUUCUUCAAUUCUCCGAGAUUUAGUCUAACUCUGUUGAGCAUUCCUUGGGUUAUUCCUGCUCUUGCUUUAUUAUUUUUGGUAACCAAAAUUUAUGUAUAUAUGUUUCCUAUCCUUUUGAAUAUAACUUCUUGCUGGAAUUAUUACAUGCAUGGUGGUAAUUGUACUUGAUUUGCUCGUGUAUUUUAUCUCUUUGAUGCACGUGCUCUUAGUUACCAACUAAUUGGUGCAUAAUUAAACUAUCUUAUGGGAAAUCUGAGGUAUAACAAAAAAGAAUGAACGAAAUUUGGAUUGUGCAACUCAAGGUGUUUGAUGAUAUGCCUGAUUAAUCCUAUUUAUAUUGCAAUAAUAUCCUCUAUCCAUUAGGAAUCUCAUGUAGAAGACCUAUAAAGAACGUAAAUCUUGUAAAUGUAUAUAUCCACUUGAGACAUUAGAAAAAACUAUUAAGCAACGAUGCAAAUCUUCAAAAUAGUUUCAUCUAAAAUAUAGUAGUUCACUUUAGCCAUGAAAAAUAAUUCCCUGAAAGGCAUCGUCGUGGAAAGGUAACAACAUGAAAGUGAAAAUGUUGUUUAAAAUAGUUAUGACUAUUAUUUUUCUUGAAAACACAUCAAGAAGAAAUAUUUACGUGUUUUCUGACUAGAAAAUUCUUCUUAUUCUCAUUUGUAGAUAGAUUAAUGUCUUUGUAAAUAUUAGCAAUAUACUCUGUAUGAGAAAAGUAUUUGCUUCUUUUUUAUUUAAGUGGAUUGUUCCCUCCUUUUGCUUAGCGUUGAUGGAGGAUGUGGUUCCCUCACUUGAGAGGUUGCUUCCAUGCUAUCAUGUUUAAUACUUAGUUUGUAUUCAUAUAAUACACUGACUGGACUUCAGUAUCGGGUAGUACGAACAUGAAAAGAAUCUCCCAGAUGACCUGGUUGGCAACCUUGUGAGAUAUGACCAUUUGGAGUCUCUUCGCCUGGUAAGUUCCCUCAAUUGCCGUUUUCCUUCUCUUAGGUGCGCGACCUUGAGCUUAAAGUUAUUCCAUGCUCAUAUUUCAAGGAUUGUGGAGGUCUCUCAGAAUAGUUCUCAUGAUUUUUUCCUUUUGCUAAUUGAGGAGAAUGACAAUGAAUAUGUUAUCUCUACUCUUCUUUUUCUCCAAUUUGAUAUAGAAGAUUUAUGUAGACCAUCUCUACUAGCUAAAAGAUUUUACGUAUUGUGGUAGGUAUUAUAUUUGGACAUAGCUUCAUAUCAGUCGUGUGAAAGUUUUAUGAGUAUCUUGUUGCACUGGUCCAUAGAACUUAGUCUUGGAAUAUCAAUCGUGUGAAGGUUUUAUGAUUAUCUUGUUGCACUGGUCCAUAGAACUUAGCCUUGGAAAUGAAGUUAUGUUUAAGUUCAUAUCAGAAACAAUUAUUCUUAAGUUGGCUAUAGUUUCUAGAGAAAUUUAAUUUCAACUAUUUAUGACACAUACAAUAUGAGUAUGCCUAAGGUUUUAUCGAUGUUAUUGUGCAUAAUUUUCUGUCACCUAUUUGGGAGCUUCAUUAAUAGCAUGUAAGCAUAUCUAGUAUCUAUGUUUAAGGAAAAGACUUGGCAACUAUAACAUUUGCUAAUGAACUUGGCGUGCAACUUCCUUUUACUUCUCCAAGGUAACAUUCUGCUUUUGAUAUUUUUUUGUUCCUUCUCGACUAUAACACAGAAAGAAUCUCUCUUUUAUUAUUUGCACAUCCAUUUUGCUCGCAUAUUAAUCCAUGUAGUUGUUUUUGCUAAUAAAUGUUAGGUGAGGGAGUUGGCUGAAAAAGAAUAUGAUAGACUGAUAGUGAUGGAGUCUUCAAUAUAUUUCUCACAUUAUAUUUUAUCUUUUGAUACAAUUUAUUUUUAUAAUUUUAGGUCACACUCUGAUGUUAAAUAAUUCAGCUGGUGGAAGAUUUGAAUAUGAUGAAAAGCUGCGGAAAUUAUUUGAAGACUAUCAUUCCUCAAGAUUAGUUAUAUAAUAGCAUUAGCUAUUCAAUUCAAACAAAAUAAUUUUAUUUUUUAAGUUAAUGUGACAUUGAUUUUUUUAAUUAGUACUUCUAUUUGUUUGUUAA